rnacentral:lncRNA from 1 species
CCAUAGUUCUAUGAAGAUGCAGAUAAUGAACUCACCAUGUCUAAAUAACUGGAGCUGAGGCAAAGAAUUAGUAUCGUAUUGGAUGCGAUUGUCCUCAACAAAAACUGCAAACUUGGCGUUUCCAUUACCUUCUUCUCCAGACAUUUUCCUGAAAAUAACACAAGAAAUAUUGAUCCAAGCACCUAUAGUGCAUGUUUGGUUCGCGGUACGAGACAUGACAAGACAGCAUAAUAAACAACAUUCAAGCUUGUUUAUAUGUGAGAUCCAUCCUACAAAACAGGCCAUUAAUUUAAAUUCCAGCCAUGAUGCCCAAAAGAUGAAACAUUUAGCAGCCAAAAAUCACAUAGAACUAAGGAAAUGAUCGUAACACCAUAAAACGAGCAAUCUUGAUUUAACUGAUCGAGAUAUAGUCAAAAUUCAUUAAAACGAAGCACAAAAGCACUAAAACAACUAUACGAUCCAGAUUUUAGAAGGCAAAACUCACAGAACUAAAAGGAACAAUCUUCAAUGACACCACAAAACAUGUAAUUUUGCGUUAACUUAAGCAGACUACAAUCUGUAGAAAGAAAUGCAGUAAUACUGACUAUAUGCAAAUUAAACAGCCCACGAAUUCAAGAAACAUUCAACUCACGUUCUUCAAUUUUUUGAGCUUUGAUCAUCAAGAAAUGAAUACUACAGAAGCACUUAAAUGGCUAUUUCAACAUCCAAAUAGGAAAGUGCCCCAGGAAAAAAAAGAAAAAAAAAUCAAUUUUCCAAUAAAUUAACUCCAACCAACAACCAUAAAAUCAACUGACAGAAAAGAAAAAUCCAACAACCAUACUAAUCAAAUGAGCAAAAAUAAAUAAAUCACCAGUAUCAGCUCAGAUUUAGAUAAUCAAUAGGCAAUAGCUAUUUCAACAAUCCCAAUUAUCGCAGAAAAGGGGAAAAUCGAUUUUCCUAUAAAUCAACUGAAAGAAAGAAAAUCCAACAAUCAUACAAAUCAUAUGAGUGAAAAACACUCACCAAAUCAGUUCAGAUUUAGAUAACCAAUAACUUCAAAAGUAAGGUUAUUCUUUAAAAGGGUCUUCUUCUUCUUCUUUUUCUUGUUUGAUGAAAAAUGUGGAAAGGGAUGGCAAUAAUAACGAUAGAGAGAAGAAGCAAAUGAGAAUAAUGAAAUUGGAUGGUGGUGGAGGAGGAGUGGUUGAUGUUUCGGUUAAGAAAAACGAUUCCAUUCGUUGGUAUUGGUGUUGGUAGUGUGAGGAAGCGAAGAAGAGUGAGAAGAGGACAUGUAAUUGGAGAAAUAUUCUUCAUUUUUUAAGGCUAAAGUUCUCUCUUUCCACCCUACUUCUGGCUGUAUUGCAGCUUGCUUUUCGUUAUCUUCACCAGUUAAUUUUGUUUGUUUUCUUGUUUUGCUUGGAUUACUGGUUUUCGUUGGUUUCACCACAAAUUGACCUUUAAUUAAUGGAGAAAAAUAUU